rnacentral:lncRNA from 1 species
ACGGUUUAGAUUCGUUUCUUUCUUAAGCACGAUUAGACGGACGAGAUUAAUUGUGAUAUGGGUAUAAAUAUUUCACAUCACACUAAACCCAAAUCCUAUCCGCCCAAUCCCCAGCUGGAGAAGAAGAACCAAACAUCAGAGAAGGGAGCCGACCGCCGCCACUUUGGAGCACCUCCGACCGCCAAAAAAAGGUUAAAAUUCUCCUACUUGCUCGAAAUUCGAUUUCGAGCACCUCUGUGGCCAUAUCAGAGUAAAAUGUACGGCGAGUGAGCCAAAAACUGCAGACAAAGUCCGAUGGAGCUGCUACGGGCAAAACUCACAACCUUCUCCGAUGAACUCCUUUUCGUUUCUUAUUUCGUGCGAUUUUUCUACCGUUAUAU